rnacentral:rRNA from 1 species
GAUGAACGCUGGCGGCGUGCCUAGUACAUGCAAGUCGAGCGAACGGACGAGAAGCUUGCUUCUCUGAUGUUAGCGGCGGACGGGUGAGUAACACGUGGAUAACCUACCUAUAAGACUGGGAUAACUUCGGGAAACCGGAGCUAAUACCGGAUAAUAUUUUGAACCGCAUGGUUCAAAAGUGAAAGACAGUCUUGCUGUCACUUAUAGAUGGAUCCGCGCUGCAUUAGCUAGUUGGUAAGGUAACGGCUUACCAAGGCAACGAUGCAUAGCCGACCUGAGAGGGUGAUCGGCCACACUGGAACUGAGACACGGUCCAGACUCCUACGGGAGGCAGCAGUAGGGAAUCUUCCGCAAUGGGCGAAAGCCUGACGGAGCAACGCCGCGUGAGUGAUGAAGGUCUUCGGAUCGUAAAACUCUGUUAUUAGGGAAGAACAUAUGUGUAAGUAACUGUGCACAUCUUGACGGUACCUAAUCAGAAAGCCACGGCUAACUACGUG